rnacentral:rRNA from 1 species
AGUGAACGCUGGCGGUAGGCCUAACACAUGCCAGUCGAACGGCAGCACAGUAAGAGCUUGCUCUUACGGGUGGCGAGUGGCGGACGGGUGAGGAAUACAUCGGAAUCUACUUUUUCGUGGGGGAUAACGUAGGGAAACUUACGCUAAUACCUCAUACGACCUACGGGUGAAAGCAGGGGAUCUUCGGACCUUGCGCGAUUGAAUGAGCCGAUGUCGGAUUAGCUAGUUGGCGGGGUAAAGGCCCACCAAGGCGACGAUCCGUAGCUGGUCUGAGAGGAUGAUCAGCCACACUGGAACUGAGACACGGUCCAGACUCCUACGGGAGGCAGCAGUGGGGAAUAUUGGACAAUGGGCGCAAGCCUGAUCCAGCCAUACCGCGUGGGUGAAGAAGGCCUUCGGGUUGUAAAGCCCUUUUGUUGGGAAAGAAAAGCAGCAGGUUAAUACCCCGCUGUUCUGACGGAACCCAAAGAAUAAGCACCGGCUAACUUCGUG